rnacentral:lncRNA from 1 species
AUGUUCGUGGGCCCUGGGUUCCGUCCCCAGCACCGACCAAAUGAGACUUCUCUCAGUAGGUUUUCCGACAAGUCGUCGCCUAUCAGGCACAAGUCAUCGCUGCUUUGUGACUUUGCCGGACGGUUCGCGCUGCAACCCUGCCCAGCCGGUGCCCUCCUGUGGCNNNNNNNNNNNNNNNNNNNNNNNNNNNNNNNNNNNNNNNNNNNNNNNNNNNNNNNNNNNNNNNNNNNNNNNNNNNNNNNNNNNNNNNNNNNNNNNNNNNNNNNNNNNNNNNNNNNNNNNNNNNNNNNNNNNNNNUGCCCACCGCCACCAGGGUUGGUGCUGGGGUGGGGCCGGGUCGUGUCCCGGGGCGGAGUGGCUCUGCCGAGACCCAGCCCCGCGCUCCUGCCCCGGGGUGUGUCCGCGAUUACCCGAACUGGCGGGACGGAAUUUCAAAGAAUCGGAUUUCAGCCGGCUGGGCUCCGAAGCGGGGCCUCUUCCCCGCACCACCUUCCCGCGGGAGUAGGCCUCUCUCUCCUGGGGGAUCGGAGUUGGAUCCCUGCUUAAAAACCCACUUGGAGUGUUUCAGCAGAGUCAGUUCUAAAGAACGCUCUGAAGGUUCCCUUACAACUAAUUCGCCUUCUGGGAGACUGGGUUUGGAAUUUAGAUGCAAGACAGGAAACUUUUUCCUUGUUUAAAAAGUUGUGCUGGGUGUAAACAACCCAUCCUACUGAGAUUUUGUGUGUGUUUGGGGGGGGGGGUCGAGCUCAGGACCUUGCACUCGAGAGGCAGGGGGCAGAACCACUGAGCUAAAUCCCCGGCCCCAUCUAGAUGAUUUUAAAUCAUACAGAUCUGGACUCCUCUGUUACUAAGAUCUCUACAAAAGAAUACUUGGUAGAUAGGGUGGACUGACUUGAAAACAGACCAUAAAGAAAAAAAAAAAAAAAAGCAAAAGCAAACAUCAUGACUUGGAAAAUGAUUUCAUCAUCAGUAUUUUGUUCCUUCCUGUUCCAAGCAACAUGUACGUCUUACACUUUUUAGGAUGUUCCUCUUUUACAAAACUGCCAGAAUUUCGACAGCGUAUUUUGGAAGUUCCCAAGGUAUUAGGUAUUUUUUAGCACUAUUUUACUUAUAGAUAGGCUAACAGGAAAGAAACCUAAUGAUAAAAAUCACCCUCAAAUUUAAACAAAAGCAAGAAAAACAAGAGGACAUAAAAUAGGCAAAACAAGGAAAAACAGUGCAAUACUUAAAUCCCGACUGGUCAGUAACUAUUGAAUGGAAAGGACUAGCGUUUAUAAUUAUCAGACUAAUACUGAGAAUGGGACUUAAAAGCUACAACCUAGCAAUCACAUUGUUUGGAAGAGAUGCAUUUCAUAAGGGUACUGAAAGAUUUAAAGUAAAAGCACCCAAAUGAUUAUCAAAAAAGCUGUUUAUAUUAACAGUAUCAGACAAAAUAGUUGUUAAGGCAAAAAAAAAAAAUCAUUGCUAGAGUAAAGAGGAGCAUUUCAUGAAGCUGAAAGUUGCACUGAAGAGAGAUUCUGAAUUUAUAAGCUCUUAUAACAUGGCAUAAAAAAUACAGUCAGGAUGGGCCAGGGAUUUAGCUCAGUAGUUCCUGCCUGCCUCACAAGUGCAAGGUCCUGAGUUUGAUCCCCCGUACCAACAAAACACAAAAAUACAGCCAAAUUGACAGAUCUAUGGGGAGACUACACAGUGUGAGGUUUUAUGUCUUUCUAAAAACAGAUAUAAAAAGCAGGUGAAAGAUCAGUAAGGCCAAGAAAAUGGGAACUCUAUGCCUCAGGAUUAAGAGGUCUGUCCUGGAAUGGGAUCAGCACAUAACAAACAGCUCAGUUUCGAGGCAAAGUUCUCUUGCCCCUGUACCAUGUGAGGACACGGCAGCAAGGUGUCUUCCUGGGGGCUGAGAAGGAACAGUCCAGCCUCUACAACUCAGGAACAGAUUUUUAUUCUUUAUAAAUGACCCAGGCUCAGGGAUUUUGUUAUAGCAGCACUACAGGAUGAAGACGAAAAGAUUCUAUUAAGGGAGUAAAGAACCUUGGAAGUGAUGAAUACGCUCAUUAAGUGUAAUUCAUUGUAUUCUAAUUAUGUCUAAAAAGCUGAUGAGAAAACGAUGAUCCAGAACAAAUGUGUGUAGGGUGACUCCUUUAUCUAAACAAUAGGGCGAACAUGCAAAGCAACAGUGUUGAUGUGAGCAUAAAAAUUCUGGCUCAGACAGCAGUUGAAUACCCAAUCCAAACAUGUUCAUGUUUUUAUUCUUAAAGUUUUAAUGCACUGUGGCUGCAGAUUAUAUAGCUUAGGCCUGUAAAAUAUCUUAGGUUCUGUGAAUGUGGGUGCUUAGGUCCAUUCAUAAAAAGUUUUAUUAAUGCCGUUAAAUAUUUUCACUUUUUGUAGAGUGAUUACACUGAAAAAAUACAGACAAAAUCACACAGAUGAGAGGAACAGGGUUUCUCAGUGUUAUGGUUUGGGUCUAGAUGUCCCGCUGAGCCUCAUGCAGUCCUGGGGCUUUUUGAGAGGUGGCUGGGUCUAGAGUGUGUGAUGCUGGGAUUAAGGGUGUGUGAUUACUAAAUCAUCCCGCUGAUUGGUGGGGCACCACCCUAAUCCCAGUAUUUUGGGUAAAAUAAAAGGGACAGAAAGAUGCUGUUAAGGUUCUCUGUUUGCUUUGCUACUUUUGGUCUUCCAUGAACUGCUGCCCCUCUGCCGUGCCACCCUGCCUUGGAGCCAGCUGAGUAUGAGCUGAAGCCUCUACAAACUGUGAACCAAAUAAACAUUUCCCCU